ensembl:lincRNA
CUUCCCCCUUUGCUACCCUCAGUGGUGCUAGGGUCUUGAAACUCAGCCCAGUACAAUCAUUGGUGUUUGAGCUGGCAACCGGGGGUUUAAUUGCCAGCCGAGAUGGGUAUCUCUGGCUCUGGGGAAACAGCUGGGAUAGGACUCUUCGGCAGGCAGCUCGUGAUGCAAAUGCCAAGUUUGUACCAAUAGGAUUCAAACCUUGGUGGCUGACUCCAGCGUGCACUCUCUGCACUAUGCUGCUCCCUCCUGACAUCACUCUGGUGACAUUUGUAGGGGUCAGUGCUACAGCCGAUGUGGGUGGUGGAAUUCCUACGGACAAGAGGAAAGGCAUCACCUUGUCCACAAGAGUCCACGGCAGUGUGCUCCUGAACACGCCACGCCACUAAAGCAAACCACACGUCGUGGUCAGCUUUCCCUCCCUUAGAGGAUGCUGUGUAUAAUAAACAGUUGCCCAAACCAGGAAAUUACAACAAGGAACAGCAAGGCCUUUUGUUCCCAAUUAUAUUCAGAGGAAGCCUCACCACGUCUACGGAUACCCAGCAGGCUCUUCACCUGUGGCUCAAACCUCAAUCAGCUUUAGGCCAGUUACAAAGAGACAGUCCCUCUGCCACACCCAUGGAAGUUGCCUGUCUGUCCAGCUGAACACGGAUUUGUUUUGAAAUGACACUGACAGUUACAUAAAGAAAAACUUGUUCUGACAAGAAAAGACUUGAGGUGAUAAAAACCUUCCUGGUCUCGGGUUCUCCAGAUCUCUUCCCACACCAUCCUUGUUUCCCUGAGGAAAUGAGUAGUAUUUAUAGGAUUCUGCUACUAUGCUCGACAGAUCCUUGUAUGUAUAGCUCUCACCUCUUUUCUCAGAACCUUCUCCAGUGAAUGCCACCUUUGUCUUGCAGAGCAGCUGAAGUGAGAGAUGAAACAGACUCUUUGACAGGGGCUCACUCGCUUUAAGCCCAGGGCUUCUAGCAAAAGUGUGACAUACUUGUACUCGGAUACCAGAGAUGACAGACUCCAAAUCAUCUCGUCUUGAAUUGCAAUGGGGAACAAUUUGGCUUCAAAAAAUUUUUCCAACAUACAUGUACUCUGAAGACAUUUUUGGAGAGCUCAACACCAGUGCUUUUCUCUAGAGAUGAUCUUCAUUUGCAGCUUGGUCACAGGAGGUUCAUAAGGGAACCUCUUGGACAUGGUGCUAUCAACGGGCAGUAUAGGUCCACUCUGGUUUGGAAACCCAUUGUUUUCUUCCUGGUGCUAGCUCUCACUAAUCCAGAGAUCCUAACUUCCCAGGCAUGUGGUGGCAGGUGAGCCUGAUGGGCAGCUCCUGUCUUGUCUCAGCCCUCUGCAGCAGACAUGGAAGAGUCCCAGCCAGCCCAAGAAGAUGAGCAGAAGACAGGGGUGUGCAGGCCUCCUGCAGUGCCCCCUGACACACAUGCUACCUGGGAGUCUUCUCCACGUUGUCUCACAGAUUUUCACAAAAUAAGUGUCCAUAUUCCAGGAAGGCUAAGGCUGGAAACAAUUGCCUGUUGCACACAUUGCUUCCUAGCUGGCUGGACAAUGUCCUGCUAGUCACCGUGACAGGCUUUUUCCGGGAGAAAUGAGAAACCUUUUUCGUUAGAAUGGGCAUCAUGGAAGAAGAACUAGACAUUUCCAUGGACAAGAAUUCAUUACAUCACUGCUCCGUGGACAGGCAGGGUUGUCAACCCUGGGGUGCACAGAGCCUCAGGCUAGCAGCCAGCUCACCAACUCUCAUGCUUCCUUUCUCUGUUUCUCCACAAAAUGAAGACACAAAAAGAACUUAGUUUCACGGAGAUGGCACGAGGUGAAAAGUCAGGCUUCAUUUGGCACUGUGUUUGGUUCCCCAAAUAACAAAAUGACUAUGUAAGAAAUGUUAACUCACACAAAACAGUAACUCAUAUAAUCGGUAACUGUACGCUGCAAUGCAGAGCUUUCCGGUCCCCUGGCAUAACACCCUUCCACACAGGGAAUGGGCAUAUGUCCAGAACUGUACUCAGAAUUUGCCUGCACCUUGGAAGCCAGAUAAGGAAAGAUGCAGUGCCUAAGGCUGGCCUGGAGACUAGGGUCCUGUGUGGGGCUGGGGAUGCACAAGAGCUGGUAUGAUGAAGGUUUUUGAGAAAACGAGGGAUUCAGGUCAGGUGCAUUUGGUGUCAAGAUUGUGCUCACAAUAUGCAGUUCUGCACCUAAGGACUGCACUCAUACAGAGAGCAUCCCUUCACCUCCAAGUUCUUCAAGAGAAGACGGAUUUAAUUUCACAUCACUUUAAUAUUUUGAUUAACGUCUUCAUCUGAGAUGUAGAAGAUUAAGGGAGCUUUGCUGAGGGAAAGACCCUCUAGCCUAGGAUCCAUCUGUUAUUUAAGCACANGGUGAACCUGACCAAACAGUUGAUGUCUCAAUCUACAUGGUGCUCAGGGCCUCUUGGAGCAGCUAGAACACCCUUUCAGGGAGUGGGGUUACAGGAGAUAGGGGAGAGGGCAUGCGCAGGGGAAAGCAAUCCAGCUCUGGACUUUAAAAACAAACAGUUGUUUCCUGGUUGCAGAUCCUAACAUCUGGAACAGGUGGUAUGGCUGACGUUGGUUACCAACCUACAGGGACAUCAGAGAACGCUUUCUCUUCCUCUUGACGUAAGUGUUUUGUUUUCCUUUUAAGUAUCCAAAGGAAAAGAUCAGCCUCUCUUUCCUAUUUUCCUUGAUUUCCGUGGUAAAAAGCCACAUGAAUUUAAAAAACAAAAUUGCC